UACAAUACCCAACAACGUACAAACAGACUCAAAAACAAUACCAGCUGACCCUACAUGCGAAGCCCAAAAUGACACACCAACCCUGAAAACUCAACCUGAGUCUAGCAAACCACCAAGAUGGUCCCUGCGCCCGUCACCCUCCAUUCACACAUGAGCGACGACCCAAACGGGAAGAGAGAACUUUUGUUUUCUUCCUUGGACGUCCCUAUCAUCGUACAUUUCCAGCAGCCACGGUAGCACGUUUCAUCCUUUUGGAUCAAGAUCGAGUUGCGUGGCACUUCAAGGAUGCUGAAUUGAUCAAAGCCAUCCAUUUUCUUCCCCAUUUCGGAAUGGUUUCAGAUUUCAGAGAAAAAGCUUUCUUCCUAAAAUGGUGAAAGUUUUUCAGAGGUUUGAAUUUCAAAUGGGAUUUCUCCUCAUCCGAAUCUUGAUUUUUCCCAUCUCUUUUAAAAGAACAAACCUACUAUCCAUUCUAUAUAAUUUACUCAUUAUUUUAUCUAUAGAAGGGGGAUUUUUUUAGAGAACUAUUCUUGAGAAGAAAAUACACAAAGCAGAGUAAUAGAAACAGGCACAAGGAUACUCUUAGAAAAGGGAAGACAAUCGAUUUUGGCCUGCUCCUCUGUUCUUUCUUUUGCUGGCGUGUCUCCCAGUUUAUUUUUUUUAGACUCAAAAAGUUCGUUUGUUUCUCUUUGCUUCUAUUUGGACUUGUGCUCGUGGGAUAGAAGUCGUCUUCUGUUCAUCAUCCCAGAACGUUAUCUCAGAGAAGGUUCAGGUUCUCAGUUUCCAGAUCACUCAGAGAUCAGUUCCUGAUCUUCAGUUCAACAACACUAAUGACACAUGUAACUAGGUUCAACAUCUGGCAAACCGUUGAUCGAGUGAGCAACUCAGAGUCAAUUGGUGAGCCUCCCAUCAUUCCGGAGGAUAUCUUUAUCAUUCAAUUAUUGUUUUUAGUUUUCACUUGUUAGGAUAAUUGGGGGUCCUCCCCCAACAUCCUUCUUUAUUUUAUAGGCUUCAUAGACUGAUAGUGUUAGUUUCUUUAGUCUUUUCAUUUCACUCGUAAAUGAUUAAGACUGAGUUGUUCUUUUGGCUAAGUAUUACUUUAUGUAUUUCUUGAGUUUUUUCUUGUGUUUAAGUCUUCCCCUAAGUAAGUAAGCUAGGCCAAGGGUUCGCUCGAGACCAUACAACU